AGAGUUGAUCCUGGCUAGGACGAACGCUGGCGGCGCGCUUAACACAUGCAAGUCGAGCGGAAAGGCCCUCGGGGUACUCGAGCGGCGAACGGGUGAGUAACACGUGAGCAACCUGCCCCAGGCUUUGGGAUAACCCCGGGAAACCGGGGCUAAUACCGAAUAUGACCUUGCACCGCAUGGUGUUUGGUGGAAAGUUUUUCGGCUUGGGAUGGGCUCGCGGCCUAUCAGCUUGUUGGUGGGGUGAUGGCCUACCAAGGCGACGACGGGUAGCCGGCCUGAGAGGGCGACCGGCCACACUGGGACUGAGACACGGCCCAGACUCCUACGGGAGGCAGCAGUGGGGAAUAUUGCACAAUGGGCGGAAGCCUGAUGCAGCCGACGCCGCGUGAGGGAUGACGGCCUUCGGGUUGUAAACCUCUUUCAGCAGGGACAAAGCGUAAGUGACGGUACCUGCAGAAGAAGCGCCGGCCAACUACGUGCCAGCAGCCGC
rnacentral:rRNA from 1 species